GACGAACGCUGGCGGCGUGCCUAAUACAUGCAAGUUGAGCGAUGAAGAUUGGUGCUUGCACCAAUUUGAAGAGCAGCGCACGGGUGAGUAACGCGUGGGGAAUCUGCCUUUGAGCGGGGGACAACAUUUGGAAACGAAUGCUAAUACCGCAUAACAACUUUAAACAUAAGUUUUAAGUUUGAAAGAUGCAAUUGCAUCACUCAAAGAUGAUCUCGCGUUGUAUUAGCUAGUUGGUGAGGUAAAGGCUCACCAAGGCGAUGAUACAUAGCCGACCUGAGAGGGUGAUCGGCCACAUUGGGACUGAGACACGGCCCAAACUCCUACGGGAGGCAGCAGUAGGGAAUCUUCGGCAAUGGACGAAAGUCUGACCGAGCAACGCCGCGUGAGUGAAGAAGGUUUUCGGAUCGUAAAACUCUGUUGGUAGAGAAGAACGUUGGUGAGAGUGGAAAGCUCAUCAAGUGACGGUAACUACCCAGAAAGGGACGGCUAACUACGUG
rnacentral:rRNA from 1 species